GACGAACGCUGGCGGCGUGCCUAAUACAUGCAAGUAGAACGCUGAAGCGAGGAGCUUGCUCUUCUUGGAUGAGUUGCGAACGGGUGAGUAACGCGUAGGUAACCUGCCUUGUAGCGGGGGAUAACUAUUGGAAACGAUAGCUAAUACCGCAUAACAAUGGAUGACACAUGUCAUUUAUUUGAAAGGGGCAAUUGUUCCACUACAAGAUGGACCUGCGUUGUAUUAGCUAGUAGGUGAGGUAAUGGCUCACCUAGGCGACGAUACAUAGCCGACCUGAGAGGGUGAUCGGCCACACUGGGACUGAGACACGGCCCAGACUCCUACGGGAGGCAGCAGUAGGGAGUCUUCGGCAAUGGGGGCAACCCUGACCGAGCAACGCCGCGUGAGUGAAGAAGGUUGUCGGAUCGUAAAGCUCUGUUGUAAGUCAAGAACGGGUGUGAGAGUGGAAAGUUCACACUGUGACGGUAGCUUACCAGAAAGGGACGGCUAACUACGUG
rnacentral:rRNA from 1 species